AAAAACCAAGAAUGAAUAAGUCAAGUGGUAGAUCAAAAUCUAGAACUAAAAAGACAAAUUAUUAUGAAUGCAAGUAGCAUGGUCACUUUAAGAGAGAUUAUCUCAAGUUGAGAGAGACAAAGGGAAAGAAGUAAGAAAACUCUGCUAAUUUAGUUGACAACAAUAAUUCUGAUGAUAAUGAUAACAGUAGUGCUGGAGAAGUCUUAUCUGUAAGUUCUGAUUAUGGAAAGAAUUCUUGGAUUUUUGAUACUAGUACUACAUUCCAUAUGUAU
rnacentral:lncRNA from 1 species